GACCCCAAAGCUGCAGUUGGUUUGCCUAUGUUCCAAACCAGCACUGUCACCUAGCAACUGUAAAGCACAUGGAUGUGUCAAUUGCUAUUUCUUCAGAAGCAAGCAAAUGGGCUAACUGUACUGCAUGAGUUGUAAUUGCAGCAUAAAGCAUUUAAGGCUCUAAGAUGGAGUUUAAUGGGCACUUUCUAAGGGCAAGCUUUGACUACGAGGUUUUAAACAUUCAUUAGGAACCUCUAGUUGAGUUGUGUGGGUGUUUUCUUGUCCUCACAGGGUACAGAGAAUACUGUUUUGGUCUUCAUUCUAGGCAAGUCCCCCCUUGUUAUUAGCAUAGUAAGCAUCUCCUCUUACUUCUCAAUUCUCUAGGCACUGUUUCCCCAAGCUCUUCUCUGCACACUUCCCCAGGUCUUCUUGGUCUUCUCUGAUGGGGCUGAGCUCUAUCUUCAGCAUCCUGAUGGACUCUACCUGGAAAACACUCCCACUGGCAGCAUCUCAGGCCAGUCUUGGCUCCUGUCCCUCAUGGAAUGGUACCAGAGACUCCAUAUUUGCCCAUGUUAAUCUAUUGCCACAAUGCUUCAGCAUGUUCUUUGUUAAAAUUAUCAGCCUUCAAAGACUGUAUCCCCCAUAGAGACAAAACCUGUUUUGCAUCCUGAGUGUCUGCAGUGGCAACAGAGGCGCUGGCACAUGGUAUAUUCUGACAAAUUACAGAACAAACAAACAUGUUGCUCCACAAUCCUGAGUUUCUCAGGAGCUAUGCCAAUGUUGUUUUGUGAGAGAUCACUGAACUUUGAACUCACCAAAUUGGCCAGCCUGGAUUACCAGAGAGCCUCAUGGAUGUACUGUUCUGUCUUUCCAACCAUGGGACUACAAGUGUGUUUAUCCAUACUCAUCUUUUUCACAUGGGACCUGGGAAUUGAACUCAGAUCCUCAGGCAUUUAGGGCAAACACUUUACCCAUUGAGCAAGCAUCUCCUUAGCCCUCAUUGUGUUUAUUUUGUAGCUAAUUUUCUUUUGUGAACUAAUUUUGAAUUGUCCCAGUAAACUUCCCUAUUUUGGGUUUAACAGCCCUUAGACCAGGGUGGACAUGGAUGUAUUCUCCACAGAGAUUAUUUGAUGGACAACUUUUCACUUUCUAAGGUGUUUCUUGCACCAACCUGAGUUAUAUUGUCUACUGGUCCUCACUUUGAUAGUCUAGAUUAUAAAUGAUUUGUUGUAUCAGUUUUUAUUAGAAUUUGCAGAUAUCUUCUCUCACCAGUGUAACAAAAUAAAUCAUUUUAGCCAUUUAGGGCAGCACACUGAACAUCACAUACUUAAUGAAUGGAAUCCUCUUUGGACACAUCAUCUUCUUCUUAAAUCUUAUAUUUAUUAAUUAGUAAGAGUUAUGAGAUGACAUGUUUUUCCAUCAGUCUUUGUUGUGGCACAGACACUAUGCAUUUUGCUGGUCAAUGUAUAUAUGGGAUAAUCAUCAGAAGCUGGCACUAUCAACAUAUCAUAUCAGAGACUGUGAGAAUAGACAGAGGGCAAAUGCAUUUUUCAUGGAAUUGCAUGCUCUUCAUUCCGGGUUCUGUUCACAGUCUUGACAUCAAACAUUAUCAUCGUUAGACAACUACCUUGACCUCAGUGUGUGCUGGGUGUGGAUUCAGGGAUAGCUUUUGAAGAAAACUUUGUUCCUCCAAUCAGCUAUGUUUAUUUUUCUUUAGCUGGAAUUUAUUUUGACAUCCAUAAUAAGACUGUCUCUUAAUAACAAUGACUCUUCCUCCUUUUUAACAUAAUGUGAAGGUAAAAUAUUUUUUGUUCUUGAUGGGGAUAGUUCCAAGUCCUGCAACUUUGUGUAUCUUGCUUAAGAGAGUUUGCUCUUCUUGAUUCUAUACCUGCAUUCGACAAUUUAUCUUUUACUCAUUUUAGAAGUGGGAGGGGGAUUCCAUCUAUUUAAAGGCUAUUUGAUGAAUUUAAGCAGAUAUGCAAUCUUGUGAAAACAUUAGAAUUCUAGUCUCAAGACAGAUAGCACCAUUUCAAACCCAGAAAGAUUCCUUGACCCCCUUGCAACGCAUUCAGUUCUCAGCCUUCGAGCCCGGCAAACCAUUCACCUUGUCCAUUAUAGGCUAAUCUGCAGCCUCUCAAUCUCAAUUGAAGCUGUGUGCUCAGCACAGUGCCUGAGCUUUUGCUAGCAUGUGUCUAGGGCUGUGUGCUCAGCACAGUGCCUGAGCUCUUGCUAGCACGUGUCUAGGGUUUAUUCUAAAAGACUGUAGCAAACAUAUGCACAUGUAUGUAUACAUAUAUGUGUGUGUAUGAGUGUAUGCAUGUGUAUAUAUACAUCUGUAUGCAUAUUUCUAUGUAUGUAUGCCCUAUGUGUCCUAUUCUAGGUAAUUUGUUUCAUAUGUCUGAAGUGGAAUUUAGUCAGAGAAUUGUGGCCAUACUUAUGUCUAUAAUUUAGAUAAUUCUGCUCAAUUAGGAAGAGUAAAGAAUGACUGAGAAAUGAACAUUUUUCCUGUGAGCAGAAGGUGUCAUAUACUUGUGCUGUUGAAACAACAGGCAUAUUUUAUAAAGAAACAAAAAUGCUUCUUGGAGAGUCACUCCUGAGUCAGUAAAAAAUUUUUUUUAAAUUUCCAUUAAAGACAUUCAAUAAUUCAUUUUGCUUAGGAAAUCGAGCAUCACCAUAAAAACAUUCUGAAAUGAUGAAUUUAGACAUAAGAACAUAACAAGUGCACGGAGCCCUGCCACUGUUUCUGCAGGUUCCACGAAUCUGAUUUGGGUUCCCACACUCUUUUCACAGGAAUAUUUAAAUAAUUUGACUGUGACAAGCCAAACUGUUUUGAGACCUCAUUGAAAGUCAAAUGAAAACAUUAAUUGCAUGCAAAAAUAUUCCAGUCAGGCAUGGAAAUGCUUCAGGUUAGGGAAUAAAUAUGUUGCCUAUGAGAAGAAAAAUCAAUUGACUUAGAAAAAGCUAGUGCUGGCUCAAGUCUACACGGUCAGCAUUGACUGAAAAUCGCUAGGGUUUCAGGGCCUUGUUUUGGCUUAUGAAUUAACAGACAGCCUUGAGCAAUGUCCAUACUACACAAUAAGUUUGUCUGACUAACUUUUUGCCUGAGGAAAUUAGAAAUCAGAUCACUGGAACUAAUUAGUAUUUUGCUUUUCACUUUUACCUGCUUCCCUUAUGCAACCUUAUUUCAUUUUGAGGAAAGAUAGCUAGCGACUAAUAGGCAUAUAAUUAUCCUUAACACAAAAAUACUCAGACUAGUGAUUUAUGCAAUAGAAAUAGUAAUUCAGAAACUAACUAACUAACCUAACUAACUAACUAAGCAACUUUCAAAUCAUGAAAUACCACAUUUAUAUUGAGCAAGAAUUACAUUCUCAUUCCUGCUCUGAAUUCUCCAAAGUAAGAUCCAUGUGGAGAGAUAAACUGUUGCAUACAGUCAUGGUUGUUCUAGUUAAAUGGGAUGAAAUAUCAAUUUAUACAAUGUUUUGGAGUGCAUGCCUAUACUACCUGGAUAACACACUUAGCAUGUCACAAACUUUAUUGUCUUAGUAAUUUUGUUAAUAUCCCUAUAAGCCUUUCAGCCAUUUUCUGUUUAGAAGACCCCCUCAAAAUUAGGAAUAUUUAACUAGAUUGGAUAUGAGCAGCACUGAAAUGGAUAUUAUUCUUAUAGCCUUUGGGUUUUUUAUAAUUAAUUUCUUCCUGAACUUGAUAAAUAUUAAAUGAAUGUUUACUAAGGCACUGGGAAUAAAAUCGUACAACUUUCACAGUACCUACCCUGAUAGAGAGCGUCUUGUCCAAUAGGGACACUGUCCAGUACCUACCCUGAUAGAGAGCGUCUUGUCCAAUAGGGACACUGUCCAGUACCUACCCUGAUAGAGAGCGUCUUGUCCAGUAGGGUAAGCACUGGAGCUCAGAGUGAUUUUAGCUGACUGAGGGAUGUUAACCCGAAAUCAACAUCUGCAUGAGAGAUGGGUAGCCUGUGGGAGGCGUGCCUGGAGGAGGCACCGGGGUG
rnacentral:lncRNA from 1 species